AUUGAACGCUGGCGGCAGGCUUAACACAUGCAAGUCGAGCGGAGAGAGGUAGCUUGCUACUGAUCUUAGCGGCGGACGGGUGAGUAAUGCUUAGGAAUCUGCCUAUUAGUGGGGGACAACAUUUCGAAAGGAAUGCUAAUAACGCAUACGUCCUACGGGAGAAAGCAGGGGAUCUUCGGACCUCGCGCUAAUAGAUGAGCCUAAGUCGGAUUAGCCAGUUGGUGGGGCAAAGGCCGACCAAGGCGACGAGCUGUAGCGGGUCUGAGAGGAUGAUCCGCCACACUGGGACUGAGACACGGCCCAGACUCCUACGGGAGGCAGCAGUGGGGAAUAUUGGACAAUGGGCGGAAGCCUGAUCCAGCCAUGCCGCGUGUGUGAAGAAGGCCUUAUGGUUGUAAAGCACUUUAAGCGAGGAGGAGGCUACUUUAGUUAAUACCUAGAGAUAGUGGACGUUACUCGCAGAAUAAGCACCGGCUAACUCUGUGCCAGCCGCCGCCGUAA
rnacentral:rRNA from 1 species